UAUUAGUCAAUGCUCGCAAGAGUGAACUAGCUAACUGAAAUUAUAGGAUCCACUACGUGUGGUGAAUUUAAUAACGUAAGGGAAAAAAAUGAUAUUACCUUACUAUUAGUGUUGUCCAAAGCUGGUGCCAGAAGACUCGGUAAGGCCAGAGACGCAAACGUUAGUCGUCCUAAUCAGGCGUAAAGGGUAUGUAGGCUGCUUUAAAAGUUUUAGCUAAAGAUGAAUUAAAGCUAGAAUCAAAUGGAGGAUAAGUCAAAUAAUACCUAGUGUAGGGUUUAAAUCUGUUGAUGUUAGGUAGAGUACUAACGGUGAAAGCUUUUUAUCUAAAAAUGAUUGACGCUGAGAAACGAAGGUGAGAAUAGGAAAUAGGAUUAGAUACCCAGAUACCUCUCACAGUCAACGAUGAAUGGUGGUUGUUAGUUAGUUUUAUUUAACUGAUAACGAUGUUAACACGAUAACCAUUCCGCCUUGCGAGUACGGUUGCAAAACUGAAACCAAAAAAAUUAGUCGGUCUCGAAGCAAACGAAGUGAAGCAUGUUAUUUAAUUC
rnacentral:rRNA from 1 species